rnacentral:rRNA from 1 species
AUACGGGGGGUGCAAGCGUUGUUCGGAAUCAUUGGGCGUAAAGAGCGUGUAGGCGGCUUAACAAGUCAGAUGUGAAAUCCCUGGGCUUAACCCAGGAAGUGCAUUUGAAACUGUUUGGCUGGAGUAAGGGAGAGGAAAGUGGAAUUCCUGGUGUAGAGGUGAAAUUCGUAGAUAUCAGGAGGAACACCGGUGGCGAAGGCGACUUUCUGGCCCUAUACUGACGCUGAGACGCGAAAGCGUGGGUAGCAAACAGGAUUAGAUACCCUGGUAGUCCACGCUGUAAACGAUGUUCACUAGGUGUUGGGGGUAUUGACCCUUUCAGUGCCGCAGCUAACGCAUUAAGUGAACCGCCUGGGGAGUACGGUCGCAAGAUUAAA